GGUUGCCGAUCAUACCAGCACUAAUGCACCGGAUCCCAUUCAGACUCCGCAGUUAAGCGUGCUUGGGCGAGGAGUAGUACUAGGAUGGGGUGACCCCCUGGGAAGUCCUCGUGUUGCAACCC
rnacentral:rRNA from 1 species